rnacentral:rRNA from 1 species
UACGGAGGAUGCAAGCGUUAUCCGGAAUGAUUGGGCGUAAAGGGUCCGCAGGUGGCUAUGUGUGUCUGCUGUCAAAGAAUGAGGCUUAACCUCAUCAAGGCAGUGGAAACUACAUAGCUAGAGUACGGUCGGGGUAGAAGGAAUUCCUGGUGUAGCGGUGAAAUGCGUAGAGAUCAGGAAGAACACCGGUGGCGAAAGCGUUCUGCUAGACCUGUACUGACACUGAGGGACGAAAGCUAGGGGAGCGAAUGGG